rnacentral:rRNA from 1 species
AUUGAACGCUGGCGGCAUGCUUUACACAUGCAAGUCGAACGGUAACAGGCCUUCGGGUGCUGACGAGUGGCGAACGGGUGAGUAAUGCAUCGGAACGUACCCAGAGGUGGGGGAUAACGCAGCGAAAGCUGUGCUAAUACCGCAUGUGAUCUGAGGAUGAAAGCGGGGGACCGAGCAGCAAUGUUUGGCCUCGCGCCUUUGGAGCGGCCGAUGUCGGAUUAGCUAGUUGGUGGGGUAAAGGCCUACCAAGGCGACGAUCCGUAGCUGGUCUGAGAGGACGACCAGCCACACUGGGACUGAGACACGGCCCAGACUCCUACGGGAGGCAGCAGUGGGGAAUUUUGGACAAUGGGCGCAAGCCUGAUCCAGCAAUGCCGCAUGCGGGAAGAAGGCCUUCGGGUUGUAAACCGCUUUUGGCAGGAACGAAACGGUGUCCGCUAAUACCGGGCGCUAAUGACGGUACCUGCAGAAUAAGCACCGGCUAACUACGUG